ACGUUGCUAUUUAUGAUCGGUUUGCAUGCGUGGGUGGAUUGUUUGGUGUUGUGCCAUUCGCUGCCCCGUUUUAGUAUCUGCACCGCAGAGUUGAGAGUUCAGAAUAACAGUUGUGAGGAACACAUGGAUCACUGUGUAUUUUGCUUUUUAAAGAUUUGCAAUUUCGGUGUGUGUUUUGUAUACGAAGUUGUGGAUCAAGUAAUUUAAUCAAGUCCAUUAUUUGAGCCAAUGGAAUUACUGCAGAUGUUGGCUUUUUUGGCUUGAUCUUGUUCUACUGUGUGCUGCGUGCGUUUAGUUCAUGUUUUGCCUAAUGUUAUAGGCUUGCUUUUACCUUCAUUUUCUUUUAAGUUUUUGGUUCAUGUAAUAACUGUGUGGUGGUUUUUUAAUGGAAAAAUGCUACAUCGACGGGCUCUUUACGGGGUUUUCAACGGACUCUCCCAAACUAAACUUGCCCCCCCCCCCCUCCCCUCCCUCUCAUUUUCAGGAAGGCAGGGCCCCUCUCCCCCUUANNNNNNNNNNNNNNNNNNNNNNNNNNNNNNNNNNNNNNNNNNNNNNNNNNNNNNNNNNNNNNNNNNNNNNNNNNNNNNNNNNNNNNNNNNNNNNNNNNNNNNNNNNNNNNNNNNNNNNNNNNNNNNNNNNNNNNNNNNNNNNNNNNNNNNNNNNNNNNNNNNNNNNNNNNNNNNNNNNNNNNNNNNNNNNNNNNNNNNNNNNNNNNNNNNNNNNNNNNNNNNNNNNNNNNNNNNNNNNNNNNNNNNNNNNNNNNNNNNNNNNNNNNNNNNNNNNNNNNNNNNNNNNNNNNNNNNNNNNNNNNNNNNNNNNNNNNNNNNNNNNNNNNNNNNNNNNNAAAAAUUCCCCGUAAAACAUUCGUAAUGGUUCGUUGAUGUAGCAUUGCUCGAAAAAUGGUUUUACCAUUGUGUAGUCGUGUGAGACCAUCAUUUACUUUCAGCCGGUUUUCAGAUCUAUGGACUCAAACUCAAGAGGACUUCAGGCAGGUGUGCAAUUGGAUCUGUCAUGAACAACUCAUGGCAUUCAUGUCAAAAACAAAAUUGCAGCUACCAGGGAUCAUGCAUUCAUACUGCCCCUUCUGCUUUGACUUCUUUCAGCCUAAGCAGGAGGUGAACUGGGCCAUGGCCCGGUCCAGCUGAAGUACAUAAGGGGGCAUAUUUGGCUCGGACCGCUGAAGACCAAACAAUCAGUAGCACUUAGGCAGGAGAGAACCUGCUUAGUCAGGUACAUGGAUUUACACAGGUAAAGUUUGAACAAUGCUUUAGAGAAGAUAACGAGGUAGCUCAUGUAUAGCUAAACAUAGUUUUUUUUUGUGUGAAAAGGAUCCAGAUUUACUCCCUCCAUUCCUAAAUAUAAGCCCUUUUAGAGUUUUCAAUAUGGACUACGUGCAGAGCAAAAUGAGUGAAUCUACAUUUAAAAUAUGUCUAUAUACAUCCUUAUGUAGUGUAUACUGAAAUCUCUAAAAAAGACAUGUAUUUAGGAACGGAGGGAGUAUUAUAAAGGUUCACCAGAAGUAAAAUUACAAAGCACCACAAACAUAAUAAAAAUUACAUUAAGGUCCAUUAAGCAUCGAACGACCACUGACCACCAGAACGAUCCGACGACGUGUCGUUGUCGUUGCUCCCAUACCGAAGCCGGCUUGACUUUGUCGAUCAUAGCUAGAAAGUCUUGGUGCACAUGCCCCUAAGGACCAGCGCCCCGGAUUUGCAAUCGUUGUUGUAGAUCCCUUGAAUCGAUCGGAAGAACCUAACAUCAAAUAUCAUCAUUGCGUACGCAUGCCGAUAAACCCUACCCUUGCCGACCCGAGGAGCAAACGAGAAUCUACGCCGGAGGUUUGUCGAUACGUCCCAACGGACAAACUCGAGAAGAAUCGAAGCCCGAAAGACCGGCUCGAAUAUGUAGCAUCGCCCAUAGGAGGACUAAAACCCCAACCUAUCUAUUAGCCGGAGUCGACCCAUGAGGAUUGCCCUCCUUGCAUCCGGUCAUCUGUGAGGUGGAGCACUUCUUUUCCUCUGGCAGGCUGAUCUGCCAGAGACUCAUCCCUCUGGGAAGGGGAAUUCGAAGCCAUCGUCAUCACUAACACUUCGAUCAUCAUUGGGACCAAUGCAUAUCCUGACUCGUUAAUGUGUCAGAAGGCCAACACAUCUAGUUAAUGGCAACAUUAUCAAGUGAACCAACAACUCAAAAAAAGAGUAAAGCAAAGCUACCCGAGCUAGCCAUCUGCACGCGUUGAUGGGCCAUGCCACGGGAGGCAGCGUGUGAGCAGAGCGCCGGUUGAUCCUAAUGCCGCACAAGGAGCCAACAAGGAGGAAGCUCAAGCUUUGGUUAAUCACAUGCUGUUCGACGAUAUUGAAUUUUAAUAAAGGGUGUGGCUAGGUCUCAAUCGGCUGAGAUUUAACACUAUCUCAGUCAAAUGACAUAACAUGCAAGAGAGAAAAAACUGAAAAAUAAAUUUUGCACAAAUCUUAAUAUAAGAUCCGACGGAUAUAACAUCGACUGAGACUUAACGAAGUCUUAGUGUCGAGUAAGACUUAACGAAGUAUCAGUCGACUAAGACUUAACAAGACAAAAAGUGGUUUUCCCAUAAUAGGAAAACUAGGACCGGCAGUAUGCAUAUGAUCUCUGGUAGCUACCAUUUGCUUCUAGAAAAAAAAGAGCUACCAUUUGCCUACGACGUGAAUGGCAUGAGUUGUCCAUGACAAAUCCAAUUGCACACUUUCCUCAGUUUCUCUUGAGUUUAAGUUCACGGAUCAGAAAAUUGACUGGAACUAAUGGCAAAAUCACAUUGUCCUUAUCAUAUCAAUCGUCUGGAACAGCUGCAGUGUACUUCGGUUGACAAAAUCGACUUGAUUUAAAUUACUUGAUUCAUAAAAACCUUUGUACUACAAGAGAACUCACCGAAAUUACAGAAGCAAACACACCAACCACACCCACACACUUGCCUGACACACACGCGUAGAGCUGUUAUUAUGAACUCUCAGACUGCAGUGCAGAUACUAAAAUGGGGCAGCGAAUGGCAGAAGACCAAACAAUGCACCCACCCAUGCAAACCGAUCAUAAAUAGCAACGUCGAUCACUCACUGUCGCUGGGCAGGAGUACAAUGGUAGACUGGACUCAGUGGUGUCCGUGGUAUCCACCGCCGCCGCCUCCGCCGUAGGUGGGGGUGGGAGGGACUGGGUGGUAGUCCGGGUGGGGCUGCGGCUUGGGCUCGGGCUUGGGCACGGGGCCGUAGUCCGGGUGGGGCUGGGGCUUGGGCUCCGGCUUCGGCGGCACAUGCUUCUUGUGGUGGAAGUGCUCGAUGAUGUGCUUCUUGAUCGGCCCGCAUAGGGUCAUGGACGCACACUCCGGCGAUGCGGCAGACGGCGUGGCGGCGUUCUCGCCAGCGACGACGCCGUACGUGGUGCCCUCGGACACCGGCACGAUCUUGGACGGCUCCUGGCCGGGGCAGGGCGCGUUGGAGACGGCGCUGUGGAGCUGAGCGACGCAGUCGGCGCCGUGGAGGUUGGCAGCCAGGGGCACGCUGAAGGCGCCGGUGCCGUCGAGGCCGCCCACCGCCUUGCUCUCGUACUCGCCGGCGCUGUUCUUGCACUUGAUCGCCACCUGCACAGCCUUGAAGGCUUCCUCGGUCUGCAUGUUCUUCCUGGUGCAGUCGGCGCACUUGGCCAGGCCGACGACGACUGACGCCGCCUCGGUGUUGGCGACGGCCAUCGCCAGCAGGACGCAGAGGGCGAGUGCUCUCGGAGUCGCCAUGCCUAAACUUGUGUGGAUCGCACUACUGCCACUUGCUGGUGUGAAGUGCCUGAUGGAUGAAUGGUGGAUGGAUGGAUGAGUGGAUGUAACAGGCGACGCAUGGCUUAUAUAGGCAUCGGCGUUGAUCGGCGCGGCAGAGCUCGAAUGCUCGACCGGCGUUGAUCUGUCUGCAAGCGCAGAAGAAGAAGGGUGGCCGGCGGGCGCAGUGAAGCGAGACAACGAGAGAUGAGCUAAUUCGCUUUCGGCGCGCCGAAGUUUCUGAUGGCGAAUUAAUAUCGGUCGUCGUUUCGAUCCACGUCAUUGUUCGGUUGGUGUUUUGAUGAUCGUUUUGUUUUUAAAAACAAAUACUUCAUCCGUUUAGGUGUGUAAGUCACCUUACGAAAAUCAGAUUUUCCCAAAACAUUUAGGCGCCGUUCAUUAAUUUCUCAUCUCGAUUCCCUCCCAGCCUUGUUCGCCAGCCAGCUUUGCCUCCUAUACCUCGUUAUCUUCCAGCGAAAACCCCUCCUCCCGUUUUUCUUUCUCAGACAAUGACCAAUGCAUGCAGCACCUCUAUGCGUUGAUUAGGCGAGAAAUCAAUGCGGCUUUGCAUGCUAGAAGUACGUGGGCAUGCAUGGUAGUUAAUAUGUCAUCCUCUUAAUUAUUGCGAUUAAAUGCUAUGUUUAGAAGAAGGAAAUCAACAUUUUGAUUGGAGUUUUGAUUGGAAGAAGGACCGGUCAAAAUUUUUCUUCUCCUCCAAUCAGCUUGUACCUAGGUUGUGAUGCACCUUCUAAUGUGACUUACACACUUAGACGGAGGGAGUACAAACACGCAUCUUUGGCGCGGAAGCUCGAAUCGUUCAGAAACUCACUACAGCAACAGCAGCACGUAGCAACUUCCAGUUCAAACCACGAUUGCUUCAUUUCUUUUUUCAAGCUCAGUUAAUGCUAUAUUCGUGGGGUCAUACGUGGAGAUCCGUGUAAUUUUUUCUUUUCAGUUUUUUUCUUUUCACAUGUUUUUUUUUGCAAUAUCUUUUCACAUGUUAUGUCACUUGACUUUGACUUGGUUAAGUCUCAUAUUGCUUAUCUCUUGAAGUCAAACUUUGUAAAAUUUCAUCAACCUUAUGUAAAAUAUCAAUAUCUAUAAUAUCAAAUAAUAUGGACAAUAUAUUUUGUGAUGGAUGCGACAUUGAUUUGGUAUUUUGACAUGAUAAAUUUCUUUCUUUCUAAAAACUUGGUCAAAUUUAGAAAGUUUGACUUAAGACCAAAUUUACAUGCAAAAUAAAAAGAAAUGGAGAGAGUAGUACUUACUACAGAUUGCAGGUUGACGCAUCAAAGUAUAUGACACUGCUGACUUCCAUGUUUAUUUGAUCAAAUAGACACUCCCUCCGUUUCAAUGUCUACAAUACAGAAUCAUUAUUUUCAAUGUCUACUAGCGUCUUCGUUCCAAAUACAGAAUCAUUAUCACUAGAAUCACCAUUAAAUAUUUUUUAUUUUUUUUAUUUUUUAGUAUUGCAGAUAUUGAUAUGUUUUGCUUUAAACUUGAUCCAACAUCAAAAUGUUUGACUUCUUAAAAAACUAAUGCACCUUGUAUUUUGAAACUGAUUGAGUAUGACAAAAACAUGUGACUCAUGACAUUGUACAAACUAACGCGACCUUUUAGUUUAAGAGUAUGGAAUACACACCAAGAACAGAUGUAGUAAAAACUUGAUGUUUCCCGAAUUGGUGGAAGCAAUAAGAGAAUUCAUAAAUGAGUGGACAUAAUAAAGCUUCAUCUCAUUUUCAGUGAAAGCUCCACCGGAGUUGGCAACUCCAAGGACAACGCUGUAAACCGGAUGACACCGUAAUCUUUUCUGGGUCAUGUCCCAUUUCGCCAUGCAUCCAACGGUUAUAAGAUGUUCAUAUACUCCACAUGAAACGUUACUGUCUGAGCUUGUUGUGUCCCCGUGGAGAAAAUCUACGCAUAUAUAACAUCCAUUUUCCAAGUAUCAUGGUCGCAUGGAUGUUCUUUCUUUUACACUUAAGGUCUCCUUUUAUUCAACAACGAGUAGCAUUACAUUGUUGACAAGAAUUUGGAUUAGCACCCAAGGCGCGUCAUUCAUCCAAGUACCAUGUGUAGAAGAUCUAGCUAAUAUAGCUAAUUCAUGUGCGGUUGCAUUAGCCUCUCUAGGACAGUGAUCAUGGAAUGAGUAAAUCAAGAGACAUGUUGUACGUAGCAAUCUUCAAAUAAAGCACUCGUGACGCCGGACGAUGAUGCGCCUUCCAGCAUUGUCGUAAUCACCUCCAUGCUAUCUAAAUUCACUUCAAGAUUGUUGCACCCAAUUGUGUGUGCAAGAUUAACCCCAUAUCUCAGUGUUGUGGCUUCGGCCGUGAAAGCGUCAAAACAAACAUCAACUCUUUGAUUUUCAGCAACAACGAUUUUUCCCAUACAAUCUCGAAUGACAGGUGCUACAGAUGCCUGGAGAGUAUCAAGGUCAAACAAUGUAUCCACAUUGAGCUUUAAAUAACCAUGGACCGGCUUGGUCCAUCCUGCAUGCUUCAUAAUUGGUUUGAGGUAGCUUGCUAAUGUGAAGUUUGCUGCCAAUUCUCUUACUGCAAGAUGAAUUUGACUCAGUGUUUGUAUCGACUGGCCAUGCAAGAGUUUCCUCUGCUCCCACACAUACCAAGAUGCAAUAACAAUAAUUUAUCGGGAUGCAUGUCCUAAAAUCAUCGCUUCUUGAUCAAGGAAGUUCAAUAAAUAUUCCAGUGUCUCCUCCCAGGACAAGCCAGAGACACAUGAUUUAUGGAUGAUAUCACCAAGUCCCGAGGGAUUUCACACUUCACUAGCCAAAGAGUAUUCAAAUAGAAGAUGUUUAACAUCCUCACUCCUCAGCCCAUAAUUUGCAAAUGGGACAACGAGGAGACACCUUUAUAUGUCUAUCAACAAGAUUUGCACGACAGGGAUUUGCCCCUUUCAAUUGCCCUCCACAAAAAAAAAAAUUACCUUGGCCGGACACUGCAGGUUCCAAACUAAAUCCCACAUACCGUUAUGCCUCGAUGCUUCAAUAUUAUUCUCAUUAGAUAUUUUAUCCAAUGUACCAUCCAUCUUUAUGAACUCUCCUAUUUUUGUUGGAUGCAAACUUUCAUAGGCAAUCAAAACAUUGUUAGUAAUUAACCGUCCCGGAACAGGGGCAUUCUUGCCGACCCAUGUGUUGUUGGUUGCUGUAAAAAAGGGUAUAGCAAAGCUUUUCAAUCUGAAAAAGAUGUUCUUCUAUGGUGGCACAACCAAUAAAAAACAUAAGUUUUCUAUAUCUUGAGAGAAUCCUGGAGAAUCUAAAUAGCUAGCGCCACUAACAUAUUUAUCUCUACUAGUCAAUGUGUACGUGCAAUGCGCGUUAAUUUGGAAGUAUAUUAAGUGCAUGUUGAUAUUAAGUAAGAUAUUAUUUGUGUGUUAUUAUGUGAUUAGCAUUAUAUUUGGCAUGAAAUUAACUGAACGCUAAACGUGUUGAGCGCUCGACAUUGAAGUGGUCUAGGUCGUCGGAUUGACAUGAUUCGAUGGCCGAGAUUAAUUGGGUCUGCCCCUUUGGGUCUUUUUAUAUUGGUAUAGAUGAAGCAUUGUUAUUUUCACCGCAAAAAAAAAAGUAUAGAUGUAAGCAAAGCCAUCUCAGCGUGUCAAAGACCCACCUUUAAGAUGCAGCCAUGCAUAGGAAAAGCUUCACCUCGACAUGCAAAUAUUAAUGAGAAUUUCCACUGUAGUAUUAUGCUAUUUACAUCUAAUAAAAUUGUACAACCAUACAGUAAUCAAACACAAUAAACCAUAUAUAUUUUCAUUUUAUUUAUUAUAAUAUUAAUCUAACUACUCAUGUUCCACCGAGACAAAUACAUUGAAAUAUAAUGCAGAACAUCCUCCCAACAAUGUGCCAGAUAUCAUCUAGUAAUCACUUGGUUUCUGAUGUUUGCCAUUCAUCAUUUAUCAAGAGCACUUAACUUUUCAUAUAUUAGGUCCGACCUCGAUUUAGUGAUGGAAACUACUUGUCAACAUAUUGUGGCAACAAUUAAUAGAAAUUGCACAUUCCAUGAGCCAGUUGUCAUAGAGCAACUUUCAAGUAAAAUGGAAUGCAACUAUCUUCUGAACUGCAGAACAAAAUAUGUACGACCGCAACCAGCGUUAUUAUAUUCGAAGUUUGAGAAGUUUUUAUGUUAUUAUGCCACUUGUGCUGCUCUGGUGCUCAAACCCUACCUCUGAUUGGUUGUAAGAUUGCUUUCAAAUUAAGCUUGUAACCAGCCAAUCCACGCUGCUAACUCAAGUCUUGUUAAUUUCAGGCAAUGCGCAUUAAUUUGGAAGUAUAUUAAGUGCAUGUUGAUAUUAAGUAAGAUAUUAUUUGUGUGUUAUUAUGUGAUUAGCAUUAUAUUUGGCAUGAAAUUAACUGAACGCUAAACGUGUUGAGCGCUCGACAUUGAAGCGGUCUAGGUCGUCGGAUUGACAUGAUUCGAUGGCCGAGAUUAAUUGGGUCUGCCCCUUUGGGUCUUUUUAUAUUGGUAUAGAUGAAGCAUUGUUAUUUUCACCGCAAAAAAAAGUAUAGAUGUAAGCAAAGCCAUCUCAGCGUGUCAAAGACCCACCUUUAAGAUGCAGCCAUGCAUAGGAAAAGCUUCACCUCGACAUGCAAAUAUUAAUGAGAAUUUCCACUGUAGUAUUAUGCUAUUUACAUCUAAUAAAAUUGUACAACCAUACAGUAAUCAAACACAAUAAACCAUAUAUAUUUUCAUUUUAUUUAUUAUAAUAUUAAUCUAACUACUCAUGUUCCAUCGAGACAAAUACAUUGAAAUAUAAUGCAGAACAUCCCCCCAACAAUGUGCCAGAUAUCAUCUAGUAAUCACUUGGUUUCUGAUGUUUGCCAUUCAUCAUUUAUCAAGAGCACUUAACUUUUCAUAUAUUAGGUCCGACCUCGAUUUAGUGAUGGAAACUACUUGUCAACAUAUUGUGGCAACAAUUAAUAGAAAUUGCACAUUCCAUGAGCCAGUUGUCAUAGAGCAACUUUCAAGUAAAAUGGAAUGCAACUAUCUUCUGAACUGCAGAACAAAAUAUGUACGACCGCAACCAGCGUUAUUAUAUUCGAAGUUUGAGAAGUUUUUAUGUUAUUAUGCCACUUGUGCUGCUCUGGUGCUCAAACCCUACCUCUGAUUGGUUGUAAGAUUGCUUUCAAAUUAAGCUUGUAACCAGCCAAUCCACGCUGCUAACUCAAGUCUUGUUGAUUUGGUACAUAUAAAUGGCCCGGAGGCGCGCCGCACGUAGAAAGGGACCAACAGAGAAUUAGGUGUGUAGGCUCUAACUUGUUUAGGCUCUAGUAGAUGAUAAAGACUACGUACUUACGCUGCAUGAAUGCAUGCAUGCUUGUCCAUGUGCCGCGUGGAACCUACGAACGAGAAGGACAUGAUCGGCCACCAGCCAAUGCAAAAUCGAUCACCAACCGAGCAAUGAGAAACGACGUGCGUGGAUCAAAUCGAUCGUUGAUCGAUGCGUGCAGAAUCGAUCAACCGAGUUUUAAUACGCCAUCUGAAAUUUCGGCGAGUUAGCCGGUCUCUCGUUGUCAGGCAUCACUUCGCCGGUCACCAGGCGAACAUGCAGCCAGAUCAUCGCCCGAGCUGGAUGGAUCAAUGCGGAUGCCUAUAUAAGCCACGCGUCGCCUGUUCCAUUCAUCCAUCCAUCCAUCCAUCGACCAGCCACUUCACACAGGCAAGCGAGUGGUAGAGGUUCAGGCAUGGCAGCUCCGAGAGCGCUCGUCCUCGCCGUCCUGCUGGCGAUCGCCGUCGCCAACGCCGAGGCGGCGUCCGUGGUCGUCGGCCUGGUCAAGUGCGCCGAUUGCACCAGGAAGAACAUGAAGGCCGAGAAAGCCUUCAAAGGUGAGCUAGCUACAUACCGUAUAUAGGUCGAUAAAUAUGAACAGUACUGUCACUCUGCAGGUGCACACUUCACACACCUAUAAAUGUAUGGAGAUCAGCUCACAGUCACUGAUGUACUAAUGGCCCUGCCACGAAAAUUUUGUCAGGUCUCCAGGUGGCAAUCAAGUGCAAGAACGUCCACGGCGACUACGAGAGCAAGGCAGUGGGUGCCCUCGACGGGACCGGCGCCUUCGGCGUGCCACUCGCCGCAGACCUCCACGGCAAUGACUGCGUCGCACAGCUCCACAGCGCCGCCUCCAACACGCCGUGCCCUGGCCAGGAGCCAUCAAAGAUCGUGCCGGUUUCGGAAGGCACCACCUUCGGCAUCGUCGCCGGUGACAACAUUGCCACGCCAUCCGCAGCAUCGCCGGAGUGUGCGUCCAUGACCCUGUGCGGGCCGAUCAAGAAGCACAUCAUCGAGCACUUCCACCACAAGCAGCCGGUGCCGCCGAAGCCGGAGCCCAAGCCCCAGCCCCACCCAGACUACAGCCCCGUGCCCAAGCCCGAGCCCAAGCCGCAGCCCCACCCAGACUACCACCCUGUCCCUCCCAUGCCCACCUAUGGAGGCGGUGGCGACGGUGGAUACCACGGACACCACUGAGUCCAGUCUACCACCGUGGUCCUGCCCAGCCAUGAAAUCUCAUCACCGGGUUCAAAGUCAAUGAGUGAUCGAUGUUGCUAUUUAUGAUCGGUUUGCAUGCGUGGAUGGAUUGCUUGGUGUUGUGCCAUUUGCUGCCUCAUUUUAGUAUUUGCACCGCAAAGUUGAGAGUUCAGAAUAACAGUUGUGAGCAACACAGGGAUCACUGUGUAUUUUGCUUUUUAAAGAUUUGUAAUUUUGGUGUAUGUUUUGUAUAAAGUUGUGGAUCAAGUAAUUUAAUCAAGUCCAUUUGAGCCAAUGGAAUUACCGCAGAUGUUGGCUUUUUUGGCUUGAUCUUGUUCUACUGUGUGUUGUGUGUGUUUAGUUCAUGUUUUGCCUAAUGUUAUAGGCUUGCUUUUACCUUUAUUUUCUUUUAAGUUUUUGGUUCAUGUAAUAACUGUGUGGCAGUUUUUUAAUGGAAGAAUAGCAAAAAUGGUAC
rnacentral:lncRNA from 1 species